CGGCGGGAACCGUGGCUCCGCAGGUGUUCGCGGCUCGAAUCAGCCUUCUACGUUGAGGAAGCUUCUGGGACGUGCAGCACCUCUACAAUGGAAACGAGAUCUUCAUCAUCAGCUUCAGAUGUGUUCUUGGAACCCUGAGUUCACCUCACCUUGGCAGUGGUCUGCAAGUUAAUCCUGUGAAGCGACCUCACACAGCCCCUCUGGGGAAGUCUUGCGGCGCCCAUGCCAAAGAAAGAACACCUCAGCAUGUUCAUCCACCUUCCGUUGGCCUCGGGAACUCCUGGAGGGAAAGCUAGCUCCAAGCAGGAAAGAAGAGGGAAGAACUCUGAAGGACACAGAUCAUCCCAGCCUACAGUCCAGACAAUAUUUGAAGGAGAGCCACGCCUUGCCCUUCGCAUUCUCCACGGAGCCUUCACUGCCAAAACACUGAGGAAAGGCCUUGGUAGCUGUGUGUCACUCUGGACUCUGUGGUACAAGGAGAUGGCUCUGACCGUUUGCCGCUGAGGAUGAAGUUCUCCUUUUCCAGAUGGUUUUCACACAGGGUGGUAGGGGAUUUCAUAUUGCUUCAUCUUCUACCCUAGCCCUGACCCUCACCACCAGGCAGCCCAGCCAUAUUAGCUGAGAAAUCCAUACAGGGGCAGGAGCCCCUGUUCCCUCCCCUCUGCUAAA
rnacentral:lncRNA from 1 species